AACGAACGCUGGCGGCGCGCCUAAUACAUGCAAGUCGAGCGAGAAGGUGUAGCAAUACACUUGUAAAGCGGCGAACGGGUGAGGAAUGCAUGGGUAACCUACCCUCGAGUGGGGAAUAACUAGCCGAAAGGUUAGCUAAUACCGCAUACGUUUCCGGAACUUCGGUUUCGGAAAGAAAGCAAUACCGUGGGUAUUGCGCUCCUGGAUGGGCUCAUGCCCUAUCAGCUUGUUGGUGAGGUAACGGCUCACCAAGGCUUCGACGGGUAGCUGGUCUGAGAGGACGAUCAGCCACACUGGCACUGCGACACGGGCCAGACUCCUACGGGAGGCAGCAGUAAGGAAUAUUGCGCAAUGGACGAAAGUCUGACGCAGCGACGCCGCGUGGGGGAUGAAGGUCUUCGGAUUGUAAACCCCUUUCGGGAGGGAAGAUGGAGUGGGUAACCACUUGGACGGUACCUCCAGAAGCAGCCACGGCUAACUUCGUGCCAGCAGCCGCGGUAA
rnacentral:rRNA from 1 species